rnacentral:rRNA from 1 species
UACGUAGGGGGCUAGCGUUGUCCGGAAUCAUUGGGCGUAAAGAGCGUGUAGGCGGUCCGGUAAGUCCGCUGUGAAAGUCGGGGGCUCAACCCUCGAAUGCCGGUGGAUACUGUCGGGCUAGAGUGCGGAAGAGGCGAGUGGAAUUCCUGGUGUAGCGGUGAAAUGCGCAGACUAUCAGGAGGAACACCUAUUGCGAAGGCAGCUCGCUGGGACGUAACUGACGCUGAGACGCGAAAGCGUGGGGAGCAAACAGG